CCUACGGGUGGCAGCAGUGAGGAAUAUUGGUCAAUGGACGAGAGUCUGAACCAGCCAAGUAGCGUGAAGGAUGAAGGCCCUAUGGGUUGUAAACUUCUUUUAUAAAGGAAUAAAACGAGGCACGUGUGCCUUUUUGCAUGUACUUUAUGAAUAAGGAUCGGCUAACUCCGUGCCAGCAGCCGCGGUAAUACGGAGGGUCCGAGCGUUAUCCGGAUUGAUUGGGUUUAAAGGGAGCGGAGAUGGGUUGUUAAGUCAGUUGUGAAAGUUUGCGGCUCAACCGUAAAAUUGCAAUUGAUACUGGCAGUCUUGAGUACAGUUGAGGUAGGCGGAAUGCGUGGUGUAGCGGUGAAAUGCUUAGAUAUCACGAAGAACCCCGAUUGCGAAGGCAGCUUACUAAACUGUGACUGACAUUGAUGCUCGAAAGUGUGGGUAUCAAACAGGAUUAGAUACCCUGGUAGUC
rnacentral:rRNA from 1 species